rnacentral:rRNA from 1 species
CCGGCGACCGGCGCACGGGUGAGUAACACGUAUGCAACCUGGCCGUGACAGAUGGAUAACCGGGAGAAAUCCCGCCUAAUACAGCAUGACGCCGCGGGAGGACAUCCUCCCGCGGCCAAAGGGCGACCCGGUCACGGAUGGGCAUGCGGCGCAUUAGGUAGUUGGUGGGGCAACGGCCCACCAAGCCGACGAUGCGUAGGGGUUCUGAGAGGAAGGUCCCCCACAUUGGAACUGAGACACGGUCCAAACUCCUACGGAAGGCAGCAG